AUAGCAUGAAGCUCGAUUUGCUUCCUCUUUCAAGCUAAGAAACACACAUAGACGAGAAAAAAACUAGUUGCAAGCUUAGGUUACCAUAAUACUCAAAUAAUAUGGGUGGCACACAUUCAAUCACAAAAAUUAAUCCAUUCAAUCAUACGGGUGGCUCUCUUCUCCGGCUCUCUUCUCUCUCUGUCUCUUCUCUCUCCUCAAUCUCUCUCUCUUCCCAUCUGAAGCGACCACCGUCGCCGGUUCCGACAGGUACGUCUCUCUCCUUUCUCGUCUUUUUCGAUUGCACAAUGCUGUCGGAACACUGUUCCGACAACUCACGGUGGUCUUUCUUCGACACCUCCUACACCGUCGAGACACACAGCGUCAGGCGCACACCCUCUGCAAAUUUC
rnacentral:lncRNA from 1 species